CCUACGGGUGGCAGCAGUGAGGAAUAUUGGUCAAUGGACGAGAGUCUGAACCAGCCAAGUAGCGUGAAGGAUGACUGCCCUAUGGGUUGUAAACUUCUUUUAUAUGGGAAUAAAAUGUUCCACGUGUGGGAUUUUGUAUGUACCAUAUGAAUAAGGAUCGGCUAACUCCGUGCCAGCAGCCGCGGUAAUACGGAGGAUCCGAGCGUUAUCCGGAUUUAUUGGGUUUAAAGGGAGCGUAGGUGGAUUGUUAAGUCAGUUGUGAAAGUUUGCGGCUCAACCGUAAAAUUGCAGUUGAAACUGGCAGUCUUGAGUACAGUAGAGGUGGGCGGAAGUCGUGGUGUAGCGGUGAAAUGCUUAGAUAUCACGAAGAACUCCGAUGGCGAAGGCAGUUCACUGGACUGCAACUGACACUGAGGCUCGAAAGUGUGGGUAUCAAACAGGAUUAGAUACCCGGGUAGUC
rnacentral:rRNA from 1 species